CCAUCUCAGGGCUCUCACUAAGAGACCCUCACCUUCUCCAAUGAUGCCUCAAAACGAAACCUUUUUGCCCAAGGUGAUUUUUCACAAUUCUGUUCUGUGUCACCCUCGCUGUCACGGUCUCCUUCACAAAGUGGAACUCUCAAAAUGUGUGGUACAACCGAGUGGCUUCCUUGACCAUUUCGGAGUGCAGUUAAGAGUCACCACAUGUCAGCCAGACCAGGAUGUAGAUAUUACUGGCAAGGCCGGCAUUUGCUCCUGAUCGACUCUUAAAUGCCCUCUGAAGUUAGCAAUCACAGUACUGGAGUCACAUGUGCAGCACAAAACAUGGACAGUAGAUUCACUUCGCUAAAGGAGAUUAGUGACCAAGAUGGGCUUCUGUGAUUACUUUUCAUACUCCAGAUUUAUGAAUUCAUUUUAAAUUCCACAAGCUACUGUGGUUGGAUUUGAACCCAUGUUUGCAGCACAUUAUCCCGAGGUUCUGGAUUAUUUGUCGUGUAAUUUUGCCA